rnacentral:rRNA from 1 species
GACAGAGGAUGCAAGCGUUAUCCGGAAUGAUUGGGCGUAAAGCGUCUGUAGGUGGCUUUUCAAGUCCGCCGUCAAAUCCCAGGGCUCAACCCUGGACAGGCGGUGGAAACUACCAAGCUGGAGUACGGUAGGGGCAGAGGGAAUUUCCGGUGGAGCGGUGAAAUGCAUUGAGAUCGUAAGGAAGACCAGUGGCGAAGGCGGGUCUCUGGACAGUUCCUGACGCUGAGGCACGAAGGCCAGGGGAGCAAACGGG